AAAUCUCAACCGAAGGGAUUCACAAACCCCUGAAAGAAAUCUGGCAAAAAGGGACAAUUAAGAAAAAAGAAGCAGCUGUGGUGAUUAAUUAUUCAAAACAGGUGGAUAGUGUCACAGGAGGAAGAGGAGAAAUAGAAACAAAAAAAAUUAACCGAUGAAGGAAAAUUCUGCACAAACACAUGACUCAAGACUUGGAUCUUCACACGUUUCUGCUCUCAGUGAUCAAUCGGAUGGCAGUACACUCCAUCCACCACGUUCCUGUCAUCAUAGGAGCAGCAUCUGUCAUGGCUGGGACCACUACCUGGACACAGACCACAUAUUUUCUGCAAGGAAGCCUUGUGUGAAAAUCUCAUCGAUCCACUCCUGCAACUCAGUGUCUUUAAAAACGUCGUCGUCUGAAGGGUAGUGGUCCUUCAC